rnacentral:rRNA from 1 species
AUUGAACGCUGGCGGCACGCCUAACACAUGCAAGUCGAGCGAGAAAGCUCCUUCGGGAGUGAGUACAGCGGCGAACGGGUGAGUAACACGUGGGCAACCUGCCCUGGAGAGCGGGACAACCCGGGGAAACCCGAGCUAAUACCGCAUGAAUCGUCAUUGCUCAAGCAGUGGCGGGAAAAGGUAGCUUCGGCCUCCGCUCCAGGAUGGGCCCGCGGCCGAUUAGCUUGUUGGGGGGGUAACGGCUCACCAAGGCGACGAUCGGUAGCUGGUCUGAGAGGACGAUCAGCCACACUGGGACUGAGACACGGCCCAGACUCCUACGGGAGGCAGCAGUGGGGAAUAUUGCACAAUGGGCGAAAGCCUGAUGCAGCGACGCCGCGUGAGGGAUGACGGCCUUCGGGUUGUAAACCUCUUUCAGUAGGGAAGAAGCGAAAGUGACGGUACCUACAGAAGAAGCACCGGCUAACUACGUGCCAGCAGCCGCCGUAACAC